UACGGAGGAUGCAAGCGUUAUCCGGAAUUAUUGGGCGUAAAGCGUCCGCAGGUGGUUAUCCAAGUCUGCUGUUAAAGCGCGAGGCUUAACUUCGUACAGGCAGUGGAAACUGGGUGACUGGAGUAUGGUAGGGGUAGCGGGAAUUCCCAGUGUAGCGGUGAAAUGCGUAGAGAUCGGGAGGAACACCCGUGGCGAAGGCGGCCAACUGGGCCGGACCUGACGCUGAGGCGCGAAAGCGUGGGGAGCAAACAGG
rnacentral:rRNA from 1 species